rnacentral:rRNA from 1 species
UACAGAGGUCCCAAGCGUUGUUCGGAUUCAUUGGGCGUAAAGGGUGCGUAGGCGGCGCGGUAAGACGGGUGUGAAAUCUCGGAGCUUAACUCCGAAACUGCAUUCGAUACUGCCGUGCUUGAGGACUGGAGAGGAGACUGGAAUUUACGGUGUAGCGGUGAAAUGCGUAGAUAUCGUAAGGAAGACCAGUGGCGAAGGCGGGUCUCUGGACAGUUCCUGACGCUGAGGCACGAAGGUCAGGGGAGCAAACGGG